GGAGUUGUGGCUCUGUGGUAGAGCGCUUGCCUUGCAUGUAUGAGGCCCUGGGUUCGAUACACAGCACCA
rnacentral:tRNA from 1 species